AGCCCGCUCCAAAGACAGACGUCACCCAGGAUUUUGAGGAAGUAAGCAGGAACACGUAAGGGCCAAAGGAAACCAGGCAGAUCCAAAAGAAAGCAGGCGCCCGAGAAACCGUGACCUCCCCACCCCCCGCCUCUCAGUGAAGUGGGCCCCAGCAGGUUGCAGGCAUGUGGGACCUCGGCGAUCUCUCCCCAGAGGCCCAGAAGAUCCCUGACGAACCCACCCACACCGCACUCCAUGCUCAUCCCCUCCGCCCCACCCUACGCUGUCUGCUGACACACAUUCUCUCUGCCUGUGACAAAGUCAUGGCCCCACAGAAACUCAAGCGCUUCCAAAUUGCCUUCGGUGGGGCAACCGGGGAAGGACUUCGAAAACCAAGAAGGGAUAGCAUCUCCAAAAAUAUGCCCUCUCCCCACUGACGCGGUGCCGAACCCCUCCGGGAAAGCAGGGCCAUCCUGGAGACAGACAGACAUCCAGAGGGACACGCGCAGUAUCAGAGACGGUG